GACGAACGCUGGCGGCGCGCCUAACACAUGCAAGUCGAACGAGCGAGAGAGAGCUUGCUUUCUCGAGCGAGUGGCGAACGGGUGAGUAACGCGUGAGGAACCUGCCUCAAAGAGGGGGACAACAGUUGGAAACGACUGCUAAUACCGCAUAAGCCCAUGACCCGGCAUCGGGUAGAGGGAAAAGGAGCAAUCCGCUUUGAGAUGGCCUCGCGUCCGAUUAGCUAGUUGGUGAGGUAACGGCCCACCAAGGCGACGAUCGGUAGCCGGACUGAGAGGUUGAACGGCCACAUUGGGACUGAGACACGGCCCAGACUCCUACGGGAGGCAGCAGUGGGGAAUAUUGCACAAUGGGGGAAACCCUGAUGCAGCGACGCCGCGUGGAGGAAGAAGGUCUUCGGAUUGUAAACUCCUGUUGUUGAGGAAGAUAAUGACGGUACUCA
rnacentral:rRNA from 1 species